GAAGCGUCUGGAAAGGCGCGCGAUACAGGGUGACAGCCCCGUACACAAAAGCGCAUGUGCUGUGAGCUCGAUGAGUAGGGCGGGACACGUGGUAUCCUGUCUGAAUAUGGGGGGACCAUCCUCCAAGGCUAAAUACUCCUGACUGACCGAUAGUGAACCAGUACCGUGAGGGAAAGGCGAAAAGAACCCCGGCGAGGGGAGUGAAAAAGAACCUGAAACCGUGUACGUACAAGCAGUGGGAGCCCCACCACUAAGCCAGUGGUGAACUCCACAUACGCAUCCUUUGCUGAGGAUACGGUUAACGGAGCGAAAGCGACGUUCAACCUCAAAAGAAGCAGAGGGGGCUUAGUGGUGGGGUGACUGCGUACCUUUUGUAUAAUGGGUCAGCGACUUAUAUUCUGUAGCAAGGUUAACCGAAUAGGGGAGCCGGAGGGAAACCGAGUCUUAACCGGGCGUUAAGUUGCAGGGUAUAGACCCGAAACCCGGUGAUCUAGCCAUGGGCAGGUUGAAGGUUGGGUAACACUAACUGGAGGACCGAACCGACUAAUGUUGAAAAAUUAGCGGAUGACCUGUGGCUGGGGGUGAAAGGCCAAUCAAACCGGGAGAUAGCUGGUUCUCCCCGAAAGCUAUUUAGGUAGCGCCUCGUGAAUUCAUCUCCGGGGGUAGAGCACUGUUUCGGCUAGGGGGCCAUCCCGGCUUACCAACCCGAUGCAAACUGCGAAUACCGGAGAAUGUUAUCACGGGAGACACACGGCGGGUGCUAACGUCCGUCGUGAAGAGGGAAACAACCCAGACCGCCAGCUAAGGUCCCAAAGUCAUGGUUAAGUGGGAAACGAUGUGGGAAGGCCCAGACAGCCAGGAUGUUGGCUUAGAAGCAGCCAUCAUUUAAAGAAAGCGUAAUAGCUCACUGGUCGAGUCGGCCUGCGCGGAAGAUGUAACGGGGCUAAACCAUGCACCGAAGCUGCGGCAGCGACGCUGAUGCGUUGUUGGGUAGGGGAGCGUUCUGUAAGCCUGCGAAGGUGGCCUGUGAGGGUUGCUGGAGGUAUCAGAAGUGCGAAUGCUGACAUAAGUAACGAUAAAGCGGGUGAAAAGCCCGCUCGCCGGAAGACCAAGGGUUCCUGUCCAACGUUAAUCGGGGCAGGGUGAGUCGACCCCUAAGGCGAGGCCGAAAGGCGUAGUCGAUGGGAAACGGGUUAAUAUUCCCGUACUUGGUGUUACUGCGAAGGGGGGACGGAGAAGGCUAUGUUGGCCGGGCGACGGUUGUCCCGGUUUAAGCGUGUAGGUGUGUGUUCCAGGUAAAUCCGGUUCACUUUAACACUGAGGCGUGAUGACGAGGCACUACGGUGCUGAAGCAACAAAUGCCCUGCUUCCAGGAAAAGCCUCUAAGCAUCAGGUAACAUCAAAUCGUACCCCAAACCGACACAGGUGGUCAGGUAGAGAAUACCAAGGCGCUUGAGAGAACUCGGGUGAAGGAACUAGGCAAAAUGGUGCCGUAACUUCGGGAGAAGGCACGCUGACACGUAGGUGAAGUGAUUUACUCAUGGAGCUGAAGUCAGUCGAAGAUACCAGCUGGCUGCAACUGUUUAUUAAAAACACAGCACUGUGCAAACACGAAAGUGGACGUAUACGGUGUGACGCCUGCCCGGUGCCGGAAGGUUAAUUGAUGGGGUCAGCGCAAGCGAAGCUCCUGAUCGAAGCCCCGGUAAACGGCGGCCGUAACUAUAACGGUCCUAAGGUAGCGAAAUUCCUUGUCGGGUAAGUUCCGACCUGCACGAAUGGCGUAAUGAUGGCCAGGCUGUCUCCACCCGAGACUCAGUGAAAUUGAACUCGCUGUGAAGAUGCAGUGUACCCGCGGCAAGACGGAAAGACCCCGUGAACCUUUACUAUAGCUUGACACUGAACAUUGAGCCUUGAUGUGUAGGAUAGGUGGGAGGCUUUGAAGUGUGGACGCCAGUCUGCAUGGAGCCGGCCUUGAAAUACCACCCUUUAAUGUUUGAUGUUCUAACGUGGACCCGUGAUCCGGGUUGCGGACAGUGUCUGGUGGGUAGUUUGACUGGGGCGGUCUCCUCCUAAAGAGUAACGGAGGAGCACGAAGGUUGGCUAAUCCUGGUCGGACAUCAGGAGGUUAGUGCAAUGGCAUAAGCCAGCUUGACUGCGAGCGUGACGGCGCGAGCAGGUGCGAAAGCAGGUCAUAGUGAUCCGGUGGUUCUGAAUGGAAGGGCCAUCGCUCAACGGAUAAAAGGUACUCCGGGGAUAACAGGCUGAUACCGCCCAAGAGUUCAUAUCGACGGCGGUGUUUGGCACCUCGAUGUCGGCUCAUCACAUCCUGGGGCUGAAGUAGGUCCCAAGGGUAUGGCUGUUCGCCAUUUAAAGUGGUACGCGAGCUGGGUUUAGAACGUCGUGAGACAGUUCGGUCCCUAUCUGCCGUGGGCGCUGGAGAACUGAGGGGGGCUGCUCCUAGUACGAGAGGACCGGAGUGGACGCAUCACUGGUGUUCGGGUUGUCAUGCCAAUGGCACUGCCCGGUAGCUAAAUGCGGAAGAGAUAAGUGCUGAAAGCAUCUAAGCACGAAACUUGCCCCGA
rnacentral:rRNA from 1 species